AUCCGGAUUCACUGGGUUUAAAGGGUGCGUAGGCGGGUUGUUAAGUCAGUGGUGAAAUCUCAGAGCUUAACUCUGAAACUGCCAUUGAUACUAAUGAUCUUGAAUAUUGUGGAGGUAAGCGGAAUAUGUCAUGUAGCGGUGAAAUGCUUAGAUAUGACAUAGAACACCCAUUGCGAAGGCAGCUUACUACGCAUAUAUUGACGCUGAUGCACGAAAGCGUGGGGAUCAAACAGG
rnacentral:rRNA from 1 species